rnacentral:rRNA from 1 species
GGAGGAUCCAAGCGUUAUCCGGAUUUAUUGGGUUUAAAGGGUGCGUAGGCGGUCUUUUAAGUCAGGGGUGAAAUACGGCAGCUCAACUGUCGCAGUGCCCUUGAUACUGAAGGACUUGAAUAUGGUUGAGGUAUGCGGAAUGAGACAAGUAGCGGUGAAAUGCAUAGAUAUGUCUCAGAACACCGAUUGCGAAGGCAGCAUCCCAAGCCAUCAUUGACGCUGAUGCACGAAAGCGUGGGGAUCGAACAGGAUUAGA